AAGUCGUAACAAGGUUUUCGUAGGUGAACCUGCGGAAGGAUCAUUAGAGAGACAAUGCAUGGCGUAUGCUGUGCCUUGAUGUGUGAACCAAGUGUCGUGGGCGCAAGCCCAUAUGGCGUUGCAGGCAUGGACAGACAAAGCAGUACAACUUUCAGCGAUGGAUCUCUUGGCUCUCA
rnacentral:misc_RNA from 1 species